GUAAGGUAACUGCUUACCAAGGCAACGAUCAGUAGCCGACCUGAGAGGGCGACCGGCCACAUUGGGACUGAGACACGGCCCAAACUCCUACGGGAGGCAGCAGUCGGGAAUAUUGCGCAAUGGAGGAAACUCUGACGCAGUGACGCCGCGUAUGGGAAGAAGUAUUUCGGUAUGUAAAGCUCUAUCAGCAGGGAAGAAACUGACGGUACCUGACUAAGAAGCACCGGCUAAAUAC
rnacentral:rRNA from 1 species